CCCUGCAUUGCCUCGUACGGCGAGUGAAGCGGCAAAAGCUCAAAUUUGAAAUCUAGCACUUUCAGUGUUCGAGUUGUAAUUUGAAGAAGGUAACUUUGGUUUUGGCUCUUGUCUAUGUUCCUUGGAACAGGACGUCACAGAGGGUGAGAAUCCCGUGCGAUGAGAUGCCCAAUUCCAUGUAAAGUGCUUUCGAAGAGUCGAGUUGUUUGGGAAUGCAGCUCUAAGUGGGUGGUAAAUUCCAUCUAAAGCUAAAUAUUGGCGAGAGACCGAUAGCGAACAAGUACAGUGAUGGAAAGAUGAAAAGAACUUUGAAAAGAGAGUGAAAAAGUACGUGAAAUUGUUGAAAGGGAAGGGCUUGAGAUCAGACUUGGUAUUUUGCGUUCCCUUCCUUUUUGGUUGGGUUCCUCGCAGUUUACUGGGCCAGCAUCGGUUUGGAUGGUAGGAUAAUGACAUUGGAAUGUAGCUUUACUUCGGUGAAGUGUUAUAGACUUUGUUGAUACUGCCUAUCUAGACCGAGGACUGCGUCUUUGACUAGGAUGCUGGCGUAAUGAUCUUAAGCCGCCCGUCUUGA
rnacentral:rRNA from 1 species